rnacentral:rRNA from 1 species
UAACGGCUCACCAAGGCGACGAUCCCUAGCUGGUCUGAGAGGAUGACCAGCCACACUGGAACUGAGACACGGUCCAGACUCCUACGGGAGGCAGCAUG